GAAGAGAUGGAAUGAACCCGUAUGCAAAUGAGUUUUGAUUCCCUUCCCUUUAUAAAGUUAAAAUGUUUUUGAGAGAGAAACAGAUCCUCCAGAAUGUGGGUGUCCGAGAUUGUUACCUUGGACUGGCUGUAUCUCUCUCCCUGCUGUCUGUCUGUCUGUCUUUCCAUUGUAGAGAACAAAGCGGAGUGAUGUAAAAUAGAAAAUGAGAAAUGCAAACCUGUGGUGAUUGAAGAGGAGGAAAGAAAAUGAAAGAGAAAAAGCUGAAGAGUGGAAAAAAGAUAAAAUAAAAUGAAUUUUGGGGAUUCCACUGCUGGGAGACAGCACAUGCGUGUCGCCUCCAACACCUGCCGUGGGGACGCUGAUCAGAUACCGAAGAGCACCUGGAAGAAGGCCAGGCACUGGAGAGAGCAAGCAGGAGUAUGAGAUACCACUGUGCGUCAGGACAGCCUUAAAAUGAAUGUUGCAUGAUGAAUGUAUUCUCAGCUUUGAGAACUGAAUUCCAUGGGUUGUAAUUGAAUCUGCUGUCAGACCCAUGGGGCUCAGUUCUUCAGCUUGGAUAUUUCCGUCUUCACACACACAGGAGAUCAAAGAAGAACUUGAUCAUUCGCUGUGCCUUCUGGAUGGUGAUAGCAGCAAGGAGGACAGAAAGAAUAACUGAUGUGAAUCAUUUUAGCAGGGAGGUUUCACAGCAAAGGCCAGGCUUUCUCAUGUUAAAUAUCUAUAUAGUGAUUGAAUCUUUUCUUAUCUGAUAGGCUCCGUGUUGCUGCUCACUGUUUAAUUCACUCUGUUCUUUCCUCUUGGUUUUAUCAAGGUUACAUAUAAAUCCCUGAGAUGUUGAUUGAACAACGGUCCCCAAAUACUGCAAAGUGGUGCAGUGCUCCUAACGGCAGCUGUGGUGAGCUGCACUAGACCAAUGAAACCCUGGGCCUCCCUGGCCUGAACGCCAAGUUUGCCGACUGAUAAUCCGCUGUAACCUCCUCUGCUUGGUACCGCUGCUAUACAGUUACAGUUUAUUUCGCUUUGUCUUAUGCCAAAUACUCAUUUUCAGAAAAAACAAAAUCUCAGUCGUGACUGUAGAGAAUAUGCAUUUGCACCAGCCACCAGCACCCUUACAUAAACACAGAUUUGCUUUCCUGAAGAUGGUAAUGUGCUCCCAGAGUGUUUGGAUUAGGGAGCUUCUAUAGUGUAAUCAGCAAUGGCAAUCUGUGUGCUGUUCGAAGGCUCGGCAGCACAAGCAUCCCCUUAUAGGGGGAUUCAUUCCAGUCACAGGCUGAUGUUUUUCUUCUUGGAGGAUCUAUGUUCAAAUUUUUUGUUCAGGCAUCAGGAACAUAAUAUUUGGUCUUGAAGUAUGUAAAGAGUUGUCAUUACCAAUGAGCUUUCCACCUCUUUCUUGCAAUAAUAACACCUUCCUAAAUUGCAUUUUUCCAACUCAGUAAAGGGAAUCACGCACUGAUCUUAUCCCUGUGGUGCAAUGCUCUUAAAAGCAUAGAAAUAUUAAAAUCCCACAGGUGCAAGAGCAGCGUGUUCAGCUAAGUAGCUUAAAACUGUCAUGAGCCUUUUAUUCUGAAAAUGUAUUUACACAAAAAAUAAUCAGAUAUAAUCACUGUUGCCUGUGGAUACAGACGUACCUUCAUACUGAUGUGCUUUUCAUAUAAAUUUGUAUUCUCAGGUUUGAAGAGUUUUUGUGGCUUUCUAAAAUGUAUUGUGCUCACCAGUCUAGAAAUUAUAGUUCUUGGAAGAGCUCACCACUUCCACCAGCUCCUGCUGCUGGAAUAUCCAUUAAACAAGAGGGAGAAACACACAAAGCAAAGGACAGUAUUGAAGUUUCAUUACUUUCAUUUUGUCUAUCAUCCCUGUCAGAAAGAGGUGAUGUCAGAGUUAGCAAAAUCUGCAAAAGAAGAGAAAGAGACAGAACAGUUUUACAGGAUGUCUAAUGCAGGCGGCGUGGUGGAUAUUAGAUGGCUGAAGGUGCAAAUCUUCAUCGACUUCCUUCACUAUGAAGCCCAGCCUCCAGGCAGUGCUGCAGCAGUGAAGACCAUGUGUGUAUGGUGGUAACCACACACGGCCACUGAUUAAAUCGAGAUGAUCUUUGGUACAGAGGUCUUUGCAGUCUCAUCUCUCUCAGGGCAGUCCUCAAAAUGUGGUGUAAGUAAUGCUUUUUUUCCCUCAAAAGUCUACAGUGAGUCAUGAACUAAUUAUAGCACUAUUGUUGUUACCUCAAAUUAAGCUUAAGUAGUUAAAAACAUGGAGGGGCGAACAAGUCACCAUCGUGUAAGUGAGGGAACAGAUGCAGGGCUGUUGUUACUCUGACAAUAGCUUGCACCUGCGAUCGUACUUGCAGGAAGGGUGAGGGGGUUCCCAUGGCGGGCCAAAGCCGCGCAUGUGUACCCCCAGAGUGUGAUUCCUCACUCCCUACAAAUUCCCAUACCAGAUCGCCACCUUUGGUGAACUGCAAAUGGGAUAUCGCUACCGAAUAAUCGGUAGCUAUGUCUCCAUGGCGCUGAACCUCCCCCAGUGUCACUCCCCCAAUGGACUGCCUGUGUCUAGGUGAAAGUCGUGAAACUUCUGUCUAGCUCUUGAGCAUCAGCUCUCCAUGAAUGAUGGGCCUGCACAUAGGAAAACAGCCGCACAGCCCAUGUGUAAUGAAAAAGGAGUUGGUAUGUCUGUCCUGAGCAAGUAUAUGUUCUGAUCAUAUCUGUUCAUGUGAAAAAUGGUGAAGGAAAGCUGUUCCCAGAGUUUGUUUUUUUUCUCUCAGAGCUGCCCAGGUGUUUUCUAUGCUCUACAGUUGCUGCUGGGUCAGAGAGAACAGAUUGAAAUUAUUAGCUAUUUUGAAAGCAGAAGCAAGCCUGCCUUUCAGCCCCACAGUGACUGGCCAUUCAGUGUGUUCUUCCUUUGCUACAGGCUACUGUAGUUACUUUCGAACCUUGCUUGCCCUGGCUGACAAGGCAUCUUCUUUUUGGGUAUUCUUGGGAUCUUCAAACCAGAUAAGUUUUCAUGUCCCAGACUGUCCUACUGACAGUGCUGUGUCUUUCCAGAAGAAUAGAAAGUAUUUUUCACAUGCGGUUUCAAACCAAUGUACCUUCUGUCUGUCUAAUUAUGCUGCCUCACAGUACACAUGUGUUCUACUUCACUGUAACCAGGGCAGCCCUCAGGAUGCCCGAGCCUGCAGCUCACACCCCAGCCAACCUGCACGGGGAUACACGUCUCUCAGCACACCGAGGUAAUGCGGUGCCACGGUGCUGAAGGUGAAGCGACUCAGUGACUGAUUUCCCGAAGCUCUGUCAGAUGUACGACAUGUUAUGUGUUAUUAACUGAUACAAAUCCUUACUGAAUUCACCAGCGUUGUGCACAAGCACCAGAAGUGAAAGCAUCACAACUCUGAUGACAUCAUCGCUUCUGAAGGGUUUUCUCAUUGUCUCCUGUCCCUUGACUUACAAAACUGAUCUCUCUAAUCUGGUCCUCUAAAUGUUUCAUUUUGGAGAGAAAUACUGAUCUUUCAUUGUACUUUUUUUCCUCUCGGCAGAAUUGUUCAGGUGAAUUCAGCUGUAUUUGUUUGUGCUGCUGUAGAUUUGAAACUUGAUUUUGGGCAAGUAAAGCACCUGUUAAAAAGAUAUACCACCUUUAUAUCUUUUUCAAGCUGAUCUAUGCCAUCUCCUGGUGCUUAUUCACAGAUCUUACUCUAUUUUGUUCUGAAUAAGUCAACGGGCUGAAUCCCCCGGCACAGCUCUGGCAGACCAGCAAGGCUAUACACACAUUUUGCAGAUGAAUAAACUGAGAGUCCAAACACUUAAAAUGGAGAAGCAGCCCUGAACUCUGUUGCACGCUUGUUACUCUUCACUUGUGGAUUUCUGCUUACUAUUCACAACAAACAAAUGAGGACAAACACCUACACCCUCCUUCUUCUGAUAUGAGCAUGCCCCGCUGUCACCCACAGCUGCUCUUUGUGAGGUUUACUGCCUCCCCUUCCCUUGGCUGGUGUUCUGUCCCCACCACUUGGUCCUUGAUCCCUCCCUGCCUCUCUCAGGGCAGCUCCCUUGUGGUUUUUUGGCUUUUCUCCCCUGUGUAUUGUGGGAUUUAAUUUUUUGUUUUCCUUUCUCUUUCCUUUUUUUUUUCCUAGCUCAUCCCCCAGGACUGUUUUCUCCCUGCUUCAAGAUAGUGCUUGAAUCUGGUGGAAAAAACAAACUUCAUGAGUGCUGGAGGGGCUUGUGCACUACUUCAAAAGCAGAAUGGAAGCAAAUGGUGAAGCAACAUAGAGAGGGGAUCAGACAGAGGCAGACAGAGAGAGAGGAGCUGCUGCAGCAGUAACAGCUAUUUCAACUUUCCUGAGCUGUUUGAAGGGGAAACGUGUCCUGGCACAGAAAGUAGAGCUGCGGCGGUCUUCAAGGCACUGAAGUUCAUUACUUCAAGGCACUGAAGUAUCUUCAGCUGGUGGGACUCCUCCGUCAAAGGAGCCCAGGCCUGCACGGACAUGCCAAAAUUGUGGUGGUAACAUUGCAGACGUGAUUUCCUGUGUCAAAGGGAUGUACUUUGUUCCCAGCGGGUCAAGACUGGAUCAGAAAGGUGAGGACUUUCUGAGGAGGCUGAAGUUCUAGUCUUUAAGGAGAACAGCUACUAUGGAGAAGCUGGUCCUAAGGAUGGCAAAGGGAUAAGGUCAAACCCAGGAUAUUUGUGAGCAGAGGGUAUCCAAGGUAUUGGUGACUCCAGUAAAGCCCCACAGGCAGUCCUGCUUCUUUCUGCACCGCUGAGUAAGCCAGUUCUCAGUGCCCUGCCCAGCAGAACUCACACAGCCUCCAGCAGCAGAGCAAACAGCCUCCAUCACCACCAUUUGUACCCAAGGAGAGGCACUGCCUUGGAAGCUGUGAGGGAGGAAGGGAAUCAGCAGCCAACUCUGCCUGCUGUAAAAAGAGUUGCCUGGUACAGCCCACGUCCUUCAGCUCUCCCAGCCUGUGCUGCUGGCGGGCUGGGGAAGGACCAGCACAGAACAGGCUGUCGGGCUGUUUUAUUUCAUCACCUUUCCUUGCUCAGAAACUGACUGAAUGUUGGACAUCUAAUCUUGGCUCAAGCCAGGGAGACUCUUGCAGCUCCAAAGUAACUAAGUGGAGAAGAGACCAAGCAUUUCGUGGGAAUCUGAGUAAUCUGUGGGAUGGCAGGGGGGACAAAACCUCAGUUUCCCACAGUGAGUGAUGAAAUAAUUACACCAUAACUGACAAAGCUCCUGAUUUUAAGGAGGAUAGUUUUCUCAAGGGCAACAGUAAGAUGACAAGCUUUCAGCUCUGGUGUGUCAUUUACUGCUCUUCCUUGUGUUGAUUUUACAGCAGUUGCUGUGGAGCAAGUGGCUACUCAGAAAAAUUAAUGUGGCAGAAUGAGACCCUCAGAUGGAGUCUGGGAUUUCAUCGCUGAACUUUUCACAUAUUUCAAAAACAUAUUCAUGUUAGGAGAGACCAUUUAUCAGUUACUUACUAGUUUGUUUCCCAGCACACACCACAAAAAUUUCACCCAGGGAUUCUUGCAGCACUCCUAGGAGUUAUUGGUGGAAGCAGCUCCCUGGAGCUAAAGUGGAAGAGACAAUUUAAUGUGACUAAAGUUUAAAAAAUGCUUCUCUCUUUUCUAAUACAAAUUAUCUGUGAUGAAUUAUCACUCCUUCUAAGGUUAGAAUAUAAGCCCAACAGUUUAUACCUGGCAACCUUUAAUAGCUGUGCGUAUGCAGCCUCUUUGCUCUGCGACCCAGGAAAAUGGCUUCUCAAUAUUCCUCUUGAAGACUUAGUGUUUGUGUUGGGUUUCCUGUAAAUUCAUAGUGUUUCAUUUGCAGCCAAACUGCAACAAAACCCACAUAACAAUUAGGAAGCCUUGCACGUAGAUACAGAAAAUGCAGCCACAAGAUUGCUAAAUAGAAAUUGCUCUAUCUUUAAAUGAUCGUGAGCUGUCAGCUGUUCCUUUGUUCAGAUUAUUAUAGACACACAUAAAACAUUUGAUUGAAUGCUCAAGUUUUUACCAGCUAGAAUCCAGACGAAUGUCUGACAAAAUAACAAACACACCCCAUUCCACCCAUCCUCAAAAUCCCCUUCCUGCUUCGGCUGAAAUUCUCCCUGUAUUGAAGCCAGUAUUUCAUGGACUAAAUUGGACAAAGCAAGCAAACCAUCUCCUUUGCAUUGAUUUCCAAAUCAAAUAAUUGUUAAUCACAUCAAUAUUCCCAGCUGAUGCAACAGUCUUGGAGGCCAGCUUUCUGGCUCAAACAAGCCCCUCUGCAUGGAUGCCACAGAGCCCUCUGUGUGUGCCGCUGAGAUUUGCCAUUAAUUAUUGUUGGAAACAUUCAGGUCUGAUUCUCUCACCUCUUCUUUCUCUUCCCCUUUCCCCUCACACAGCAAGAAGAAACAGAAAUACCAUUCUUCACUUGACGUUGGAUUUCUAACCUCCCUCAAUGAUGUGAAGGGGGCAGCUGCCUGGUGCUAAAAUACCGAUCCAGGGCACCACUGGCUAACCUGCAAGAAACCACGAUCCCUUGGCCACUGGGAAAUGUGGGAGACAUUUUGGUGUGGUGACUGCUAACUUCUGGGGAUAAACUCUAUUCUUUUGUGGUACAACUCUGAUGGGGGUGUGUGACAGUGUCAGGGGUGUCAGAGCCUGCCUCCUCAGGCCCUGCUGACUGUCAAGCAGAAGCUUGUUCCUGCAGGCAUUUGUUGAAAGGAUUAAUUUCAGAUUUAUGUGCAUCUCUUUAUGUUCAGUCAAAUGUCUCUCAUGCUCUAAACUAAGCAAGUGCUUGUGCUUUGGGAGGAUGGCAAUCAGGGCCAAAACUGUGGAGCUGCGGUCUCACAGUGGCAGGAGCAGCGCUGGCAUUGGCAGCGCAGUGUGGGAAGGGGGAUGCUGGCAGGACCUGGGGGGAUACUUGGCAUCAGCUUGGGAUCAGCUCCUGCCCACCAGCAUUUCUGCCUGAGGCCAGGUCACCACAGUCGGUGAACAUCUCCUUCCCUCCUUUGCAAAGAGGGAGCAGAAAGGAAGAAAAGGUGUCAGACCCAGCCAUGACUGCUUCCAGCCAUAACAAGAAACCCCAACAGUGCACACACACAGGCAAGGAAGCACACAUAGAGCACAUCAUGGUCCAGUGUAAAGCAGCCUGUCUGAGACUGGAUUAAUGGUCAGUCUGAAAAGGAGGGGAUGAACCUUGGAGGCUGAAGUACCUUCUCCUAGUUAGACACAGUUUGUGGUAACUCUGUGCGCACGUGGGCAUAGCUGGCUGGGAAAGCAUAUCCUGCCCGUUUGACAUGUAAUAAAUUUACCUUGUCAAUAAGCGAGACUCCAGGGCUAUAUCUGUAGCAUCUAUUAGGAAUGCAAAAUAAUUAAAAGUAUGAACUAAUUAACCUCCCUGCUCUCUGCCUCUUCCUUUUCCAGGGCAGUGAGGCUCAUCCAACUGCAAGCCCCGCAGCAGCAGCCUGUGCUGUGUCCCAGGUUUUGAUAGUGGCCCAUGUGCUGCUCCCUGUGCAUCUGGGGACUGAGGUGCCCCCUGCUUAAUGAGGCCACUGGCAGUUUGUUGAUGCUCUCUUAAAACCAUUGCCCCCUAUGCCUUCACUGAAAUUGUCUGUGGACUGGUUAUAAUAUGGCCUUAGGCCAUUGUGGGAACUCUACAGUAGGGUCACCAGCAGAGGCUGAGAUUGGAACCGGGUUUCAAAGGGUCCCUGCCUUAGAAGUGGAAACCUGAUGAGGUGAAGAAGACUCUAGAAAGAGACAUAAUUGUCUCUUAAGAUGGUCGAGCUGAAUUUAGGGCAUGUUGGUGUACAUACAGCCUUUUGAACUAUCCUUUAGCAGAGCAGGCUUUGUAUAGCCUGCAGGAAGCUUUAGCCAAGGGGAAACUGGGGCUAACUUCAUAUCUGGUGUGGUUACCCUGCUACAGACCACUGCAUCCUCUGCAAAUGGCAGAGACUGCGCACAGGCCGCUGAGUGCAGCAGGAGGCUCUGCAGUGGCUGCACAAUCAGCCCAUGUCAGCGCUACAGGUGGCUUCACCCCGUGAGAGCUAGUCUUUAUUCUCGCUGUCACAUUUUCCCGUCUGCUCACUUGUAAAUCUAAUUGCCACGUUUUCUGAUGAUAAUGUUUUACUCCUCCAAAAGUUACUGUUUGCACAGUGGCAUCUGCACGAUGCUAUUUCCCCCUUUGAAUAAUCAUUUUCAUAAUCUGAAACUGAAAAGAAAACCCAAACAGCUACCAUGGAAGAAAGGAAAACUCUCACGGAAUAAAUCUCCAUAGCCUCUGUUAAAUUUCCCUGUAAAUGCAUAUUACUUCUGGAGCUUCCUGUGAAGGCAGCAAUGAGGAGGAUUAUUCUGCUCAGUUUUUACCUACUGACCCUACCAAAUACUUUCCUCAGCAUGCUAUCAGAGGUGUUGUAGAGCUGAUGCAUUCGCUAUUUUCUGUUUAAUAGAGCUGAUAUUCAAAUCGAGUGAUGUCCCUUGUCACAAAUAUAAUUUCAUCCUUCUACCACACUUGCCAAGAACAAUGCAAUGGCUGCGCUGUUAGAUACUGUGCUUGGUUCAUUACUUUAAAAUAUGUUAGCACUUUGCUCAUAAUAGGUUUGAUGGCCUAAACUAUACCGGUGCUGAAUUUUUAAUGGUAAUGAUAAGGUAUUUAUUUUAUUUGUAUUUGAAGAAGG